CCUACGGGUGGCAGCAGUGAGGAAUAUUGGUCAAUGGCCGUACGCCUGAACCAGCCAAGUAGCGUGAGGGAAGACUGCCCUAUGGGUUGUAAACCUCUUUUAUGCGGGGACAACGCUGUCCACGUGUGGCUGUUUGCAGAUACCGCAUGAAUAAGGACUGGCUAAUUCCGUUCCCGGAGCCGCGGUAAUACGGGAGGACCGGAGUGUUACCGGGUUUUUUGGGUUUAAAGGGAGUCUUGGACGGUUUUUAAACGUGCCGUGAAAUUUUGUGGGUCAAACAUGGGUGGGCGGUGGAAACUGGAGUCCUUGAGUGGGCGGAAGGCAGGCGGAAUGCGGGGUGUAGCGGUGAAAUGCUUAGAUAUCACGCAGAACCCCGAUUGCGAAGGCAGCCUGCCGCAGCGUUACUGACGCUGAAGCACGAAAGCGCGGGUAUCGAACAGGAUUAGAUACCCUGGUAGUC
rnacentral:rRNA from 1 species